CAAUUCCGUAAUUUUUAUUGAUGGAAAGAAUGAAGAACAUUAAUAAUUAGUUUAUGGUUAGUUUAAUAAAAAAUUUAUUACAUAUUUAGAUAGACCAACAUAUUUCUCUAGAGAUUAUGAGAAACAUUGUGGUGAUGACACAUGGCUACCUCAAAUGUUGUAAUGUUUCUUUGUUAAUGUAUAGGAGAUUCUCUAAGUCUCACAUAACAAUCAUUAAUCAAUAUCUAAAAAGAGUAACACAACUGAAGAUGAUAAACACACACAAUAAUAUAAAGAAGAUAUCCUUGUCCAAUGAGAAUCUCGCAGAUUAUUUGGAAAUGUGUCUCUGAAUCUCUCACACAUGAUCAAUCAACCAGCACAAAAGCUGCUCCAGUAUCUUUUCUUUUUCUUUAUUUGAUGUGAUCCAAAUAAUUUAAUUAAGCUUCAUCUUGGUCCUCUAUGUGAUAUGCAGCUCUAUCUUAAAUCAUUGGAUAGUAAUUCUUUUAUUUGUUUAUAUACUCGUUUAAUCUUAUAGCUUCACAAUUUUAUGUUAAUUUUGGUCAAUAUAACUUAUGACAGAUCUUACACUGGUAUAUACUUACUCCAUAUAUAUCAUCACUUCUUGGAAGUUAAUUUUAUAGCUAUGUUACGCAAAUCGAUUUUACAUAACAACAUAUUAGUCACAUUGUGGUGUUCUGGUUGUUUUUAAUGGACAAGAAGUUGUCAUGUUGGUCCAGGUUAAAAAUCAAUUCUCUAUAAAACAAAAUUGCUAGUUUGGGUAGGUAGCGCAGAUCUCUAACUUCCACAUAGAGCAACCGGACUUGCAUGUCAUCGGUGGGUAGGCCUUCAGACCUGGUCCUUGUUUUUUUUAGGCUACAAACCAAAAAUAAUAAAGUGGCUGGUUAGGUUUGAACAUUUCACCUCUAAUAGAAGAUAUAUACAUUUGACCACUGGACUAAAAUCACUUUGGUAGAAUUUUGUGGCCAAUAGUAUAUUUAUAUAUAAAGAAGGCUUUGCUUCCCUCCCAACCUAUCCACGUCAGCGUCCAGCACACAAAUUCGAUUCACGAGUGUCUGACACGUGUCACGCUUUAAUGAAACGCAUACUUUUGUAAUUCGUUUUCCUCCGGGCCUCCGUUUGGGCUUUGUAAUACAUUUUGAAUUUAAGGCCCAGAGACCAACGAAUUUGGUAGGAACCCUAAUCCGGGUUGGAGCGCAUCUUUGUGUUCUUUGCUUGCGGGUUGAAAGGGACGAUUCGGAUUUCUGUAACGCUAUAUGUUGUGAUUUUCCGUCUUAAAUCCUCUUAAUUCACAAGCCCACUACGAGACCUUUCGAUUGCGUCGGCGAAAUCGUUGCUCAUCCGUUGUAGAGGCCAGACUGCUUCGAUUCUGGGAGGCUAGGAAUGUUAAGUGUGGUGGGGAGAUUAAGUGGAUGGAUUUGCUCAUGGUGGAUGUUAAGGCAACCAUGAUGCAAGUGACGAUCAGUUCAAGCCGUCUCCCACAAUACCGGGAGAGACUCAUUGUCGGAACAAUGUUUUUCGUGUCCGGUUUUGAUGUCUCUAGAUGUGCACAGAGCUUCCGGCUCACGGAGUCUUCUCUGUUGAUCAGGUUCAACGAGAACACCACUUUUGAGGAGAUAACUGAUCAUGUAUCCCCCUUGCCCGAGGAAGCAUUUCGGUUUCGUAACCAGUCUGAGAUGAUUGGUUUAGCCAAAACAAACACUCAAUUUCCAGGUACAUUGCUCCCAGUUGACACGUACCUCUUAUAUUGUUGGACUUCUGUGUGUAAAGAGUAUGGUCUGUUUAUAUUUGUAAGAAAGUGAUAUAUAUCUCAUACUUUAUGUGGACGUCAUAGGUGAAAUACUUGGUGUGAAAAUAGUCUCAAGACAUACAGCCAUUGAGUUAUUGACGUUUCUUACACUUA